rnacentral:sRNA from 1 species
GCCGCCAAUUGGGAGGGACGCAGCAGUACCCAUACGUCCCGGCCUUGGUCGGCCUAGUGCUGACAACUCCUAGCCUUCCAGCAGGUACGCUGCUUCCCAAGGGGGCAAAUUUUGCAAUGCAGUCAACAAUAGAUUUUGGGUUGCAUUUUCCCAAAGGCACAAAGGUUCCCGGAGGAUUUCUUCUUCCUGUGUCUGUUGUGAAGAAACAGGAGCCCAAGAAAGCCCCGCCUCCCUCUGAGAACCCUCUGUGCAUGAUCCAAUAGAUAUAGAUGUAUGCGCAUAUGAAUGCACGAUGGUUGAUUGGGCUGCUAUCUGCAUGGAACCAUCGGAUAGUACAAUUGACGUUCGUUGAGUCGUUCGUUGAGAGGCCGGCGAG